rnacentral:rRNA from 1 species
AAUUGGAAUGAGCGCAGUCUAAACCCUUGGGCGAGGACCCAUUGGAGGGCAAGUCUGGUGCCAGCAGCCGCGGUAAUUCCAGCUCCAAUAGCGUAUAUUAAAGUUGUUGCAGUUAAAAAGCUCGUAGUUGGAUCUCGGGCGCAGGCGGGCGGUCCGGCUCGCGCCGGUUCGCCGCCCGUUCCCCUGCCCCACCCCUGCCGGCUCCCUCCCGGCGGUGCUCUUCGCUGAGCGUCCCGGGCGGCCGGCGCGUUUACUUUGAAAAAAUUAGAGUGUUCAAGGCGGGCCCGCCGAGCCCGAAUAACUGCGCAUGGAAUAAUGGAAUAGGACCUCGGUUCUAUUUUGCUGGUUUUCGGAAUCCGAGGUAAUGAUUGACGGGGACAAACGGGGGCAUUCGUAUUGCGGCGUUAGAGGUGAAAUUCUUGGAUCGCCGCAAGA